GAUGAACGCUGGCGGCGUGCCUAAUACAUGCAAGUCGAGCGAACAGACGAGGAGCUUGCUCCUCUGACGUUAGCGGCGGACGGGUGAGUAACACGUGGAUAACCUACCUAUAAGACUGGGAUAACUUCGGGAAACCGGAGCUAAUACCGGAUAAUAUAUUGAACCGCAUGGUUCAAUAGUGAAAGACGGUUUUGCUGUCACUUAUAGAUGGAUCCGCGCCGCAUUAGCUAGUUGGUAAGGUAACGGCUUACCAAGGCAACGAUGCGUAGCCGACCUGAGAGGGUGAUCGGCCACACUGGAACUGAGACACGGUCCAGACUCCUACGGGAGGCAGCAGUAGGGAAUCUUCCGCAAUGGGCGAAAGCCUGACGCAGCCACGCCGCGUGGGUGAUGAAGGUCUUCGGAUCGUAAAACUCUGUUAUUAGGGAAGAACAAAUGUGUAAGUAACUAUGCACGUCUUGACGGUACCUAAUCAGAAAGCCACGGCUAACUACGUG
rnacentral:rRNA from 1 species